rnacentral:misc_RNA from 1 species
UCCAGCUUUGGCAAAGAGGCAAUAGAACGAAGGGAUUCACUCGUCACCUUGAGAUAAGACACAUCAAGAUGCUUUAAUUCGGGGCACUUCUUACACAAAAGAUCAAUACCCAGAUCAGAUAUCUCCAUGCACCACUUCAAGCUUAGCCUCUCCAAUCUUCCACACCGCACAGCUAUCUUCGCCAACCCAACAUCACUGACUCCCAAGCACUUAUCCAUCUUCAGCUCCCUCAAACCUCCAGCACACGAUAUUGCCGCCGCCUCCCUGUCUCCGAACCCGCAACAGUACGACACAUAGAGCCGUUCCAGAAACGGGCAAGCCCGUAUCAGCAUCUCCAUCGCUGAGAAUUUCAAGCCGGUGGCUCUACCCAGGUUCAAAGAUUUCAGCUUCCACAGCG